AUCCAGCUGACGAGUCUCAAAUAGGAAGAGACGCGCGACCUGGAU
rnacentral:hammerhead_ribozyme from 1 species